rnacentral:rRNA from 1 species
UACGUAGGGUGCGAGCGUUGUCCGGAAUUAUUGGGCGUAAAGGGCUCGUAGGCGGUUUGUCGCGUCGGGAGUGAAAACACUGGGCUUAACUCAGUGCUUGCUUCCGAUACGGGCAGACUAGAGGUAUGCAGGGGAGAACGGAAUUCCUGGUGUAGCGGUGAAAAUGCGCAGAUAUCGGGAGGAACACCGGUGGCGAAGGCGGGUCUCUGGGCCGAUACUGACGCUGAGGAGCGAAAGCGUGGGGGAG